UACGUAGGGACCAAGCGUUGUUCGGAUUUACUGGGCGUAAAGGGCGCGUAGGCGGCAAUUCAAGUCAGUUGUGAAAUCUCCGAGCUUAACUCGGAACGGUCAACUGAUACUGUUUUGCUAGAGUGCAGAAAGGGCAACCGGAAUUCUUGGUGUAGCGGUGAAAUGCGUAGAUAUCAAGAGGAACACCUGAGGCGAAGGCGGGUUGCUAGGCUGACACUGACGCUGAGGCGCGAAAGCUAGGGUAGCAAACGGG
rnacentral:rRNA from 1 species